GUAGCACCCAACCCAAAGGUCAUGUCUAAUUCAUGAUGUGAUCCAGCAUGGUGUGCUGAUAGGAAAAUGUACCUUGUCGCCUUUCGGAUACUGAUGUGUUCUAGAAAGUGAAUUCAAGGUUCUACACUU
ensembl:snoRNA